GACGAACGCUGGCGGCGUGCUUAACACAUGCAAGUCGAACGGAAAGGCCCUGCUUUUGUGGGGUGCUCGAGUGGCGAACGGGUGAGUAACACGUGAGUAACCUGCCCUUGACUUUGGGAUAACUUCAGGAAACUGGGGCUAAUACCGGAUAGGAGCUCCUGCUGCAUGGUGGGGGUUGGAAAGUUUCGGCGGUUGGUGAUGGACUCGCGGCUUAUCAGCUUGUUGGUAGGGUAGUGGCUUACCAAGGCUUUGACGGGUAGCCGGCCUGAGAGGGUGACCGGCCACAUUGGGACUGAGAUACGGCCCAGACUCCUACGGGAGGCAGCAGUGGGGAAUAUUGCACAAUGGGCGGAAGCCUGAUGCAGCAACGCCGCGUGCGGGAUGACGGCCUUCGGGUUGUAAACCGCUUUCGCCUGUGACGAAGCGUGAGUGACGGUAAUGGGUAAAGAAGCACCGGCUAACUACGUG
rnacentral:rRNA from 1 species